GACACGUACUAGCAGCAAGUAAAGAAGACAACGUGCUCCGGUGCUGUGCAGAGCAGAGCAGCGCACCAGCACCAUAUCAUGGCAGAGCACGGCAGAGCAGAGUGGAGCAACAGGGCGGAUCCAUCCGCUUGGAUGAGGGCCCAUCCAUUUGGUCAUAGACCCUUGCAGCGGUGGCUCGGCGGUGCGGUGCGGGUGGCCUGGGGGCGCAGCCUGGGGGUCGUGGCAGCCGGUGAAGGGCACGACGCGGAGAUGCAAACAGCACGGGGGCAGUCGGCGCAACAGCUCGGUGGCCUGUGGAGGUGUCGCGGUCGACGAGGCGUGCGGUGGAGACGCGGCGGAGGGCGGCGUGCCGGCGAGGAAGAUGGCCGGGGUCCGGGAGCCGGGCGUGGGGGUCCGGGAGCCGGAGGAGGACCGCCGCCGUGCGGCUCCCCAGCGGCAAGUCAGAGGAGGGGGCCAACGACGUCGAGCUCGGGGAAGUGCAGAUCAGGUCGGUGACGCUCGAUUUGCGCCUGGAGACGCCAGAUCGAGGCCUGGCGGCGCUCAAUCUACGCCCGGGGGAUGAUGAAUUGAGGCCAAACGGCUGUAGAAGGUGGAGCUACGUAGAAGAGCGCCGACAGCCAGAUAGGCAGAGGUAGACAUGCAGCGACUUGCUUGCUGCUGCUGCGACUCAACUAUGAGAAAAAAAAUAGGUUUGGUGCUCAGGUUGCUGCCCUGUGGGAAACGACGAACUCUGAUACUGUUAGAAUGAGAGGGAAGGAGAUGGCUGAAUGAAGCAGGGAACUACCGGCAGCUCACGUGGAGCACCAAACCACCUAUCAGCAGCUAAUGGUGUUCAUGACAGGAAGCUGCCCGUGGAGGUUCUGGAAGAAUAGAUGCAGUACAUGAUAUCCAUUGAUCGAAGGUUCUUAAUAGUACAUCAUCUAAUAGCAUCUGAUGAGAUGCAAUUGAUGAUGUGUAUCCAACUACCAGCAAGAGUAAGGUAUAAUCUUCAAAGGAACUGAUUCUUGCAUGUAGUGGUCCUCAAAAGAAUUUGCAUUCAGUACUAUAUGUCUAUGUAUAAUAGAGCUUGUAAGUUGCAAGACAGGAGAUUAGGAUGAGAUUAAGAAAUGAAAAAUACUGAUGUCACUUUCUUGGCUGUUUCAAGUAGCACUGCUACAUUUAUCUCUGUACAAGACAAUGUAAGAAUCCGAAACAAUUUUGGGAAUCCUAUACCGCAACAACAUGGACAAUGAAUUCAUAGUGACCAUGUGUUUGUGCUGGCUGACAAUUGGCAAUAUAUUAAGCGGUGCCGAAUAGCCAAGGAAGCUGAGGAACAUAUUGCCAACAAAUUUUGAUACCCAUAUGCAGGCAUAUCGGUUUGCAUCAGAAUGAUAUUCAGUUAAAGUGUCACUCGUCUUCAUGAACUAAGGUGACAUGAUAUAAAAGAAAUAUCUGCUACAAAGUGGACAAAGGAGACGAUGCGCCGCAUCGUUCACCAUCAUUUGAGCUCAACUCUGGAAACCUGACACUUUGUAGAAAGGAAAAGUGGCUACACAUCAACAGGUCACUGAUGUCAUAGUUUGCCUCCAAAAUGUCUGAAGAGCAUGGACUAGCUGGCUAGCAGCUACUUGUCAUGGGUGGGAAAUGCAGCAUAGCUGAAACAUGUCAGUUCUAAUCACUUGAAGCACAAAACUGCAAGGAUGUCAAGGCCUUAAAAUGUCAAGAAUUUUUCAUCAGUGCCAAAAAUAGCAUACCAUUAAAGUAGAGUUUCCCAUACCUUAAACCAAAUUAGACUCGUGCAUAUAAGAGAGAACAAAAGGUGAAAAACUGAAUAUUGCACCACAAGAAGUAGACAUAUUUGCUGGCCCUCUGAUCUUCAUCAAGGAAACAAAAAUCUCUAGCACCUAAAGUAGAGUUGCACAUGGCCUUAGACAAGAAUAUCUUGCAGGUGUAUAAAGAUGAGAUAGCAACCAAAUCCAUGAUAUGUUCUUUUGCAGGAUGUAGUGGGGAGAACAAAAGGCAUGCCAUAGGACUCAGUCCAGCAAUAACAAUUCAGUAGAGACUUGUAUAGAUAGCUCAAGGGACUGAUUGGGUCAUAUCACUCAUAGCUUGUCUGAACGGAUCCAAUGGCAUCUUGUUUGCUUCCAUGUUAUAUUGUUGAAUUCUCUCCCAACUAAUAAUUUGUGUUAAUCAGAAAUUUAUGAGCUAUCUUUGGUUAAAGAUGCAUUGAGUUAUCCCCCCACCCACACACACCCCACACACACAACCCCCACCAAAAUAACAACGGUAACUGGUGUCCUUGUGACAUUGACUAGAAUAUGACUACUCUGAGAUCACUAUCAGUCGCACUAAAUCAUCUUUGUUCUAAAAAGAUUUACCAAAAGCUUUUGGUACAUGAUCGAAUUUUUGUCAUGACUCAGUGUACUGCAUUUUCGGAAAUAUAUUGACAUUGUCAAGGACUCCCAGCAAUUUAA